rnacentral:rRNA from 1 species
AGAGUUUGAUCCUGGCUCAGGACGAACGCUGGCGGCAUGCUUAACACAUGCAAGUCUACUUGAAUAUCGAAGCUUGCUUUGAUAGGAUGGUGGCGAACGGGUGAGUAACGCGUAGAUAAUCUGCCCUUCAGGCAGGGAUAAUCUCUGGAAACGGAGACUAAUACCUGAUAGUAUCCUUUGGUGGCAUCACUAAUGGAUUAAAGAUCUAGAAUCGCUGAAGGAUGAAUCUGCGUGUCAUUAGCUAGUUGGUAGGGUAAAAGCCUACCAAGGCAACGAUGACUAGCUGGUCUGAGAGGAUGAUCAGCCACACUGGGACUGAGAUACGGCCCAGACUCCUACGGGAGGCAGCAGUGAGGAAUAUUGCACAAUGGGGGCAACCCUGAUGCAGCAAUGCCGCGUGAGUGAAGAAUCAGUUAAUCUGUGUAAAGCUCUGUUGAUUGGGACGAAAUGUAAGGUUAGCAGCCUUAUUUGACGGUACCAAUCGAGGAAGCUCCGGCUAACUCCGUGCCAGCAGCCGCGGUAAUACGGGGGGAGCGAGCGUUGUCCGGAUUCAUUGGGCGUAAAGGGCAUGUAGGUGGGUCUUUAAGUCAGUUGUUAAAUCUUACGGCUUAACCGUGAAUGGCAAUUGAUACUGAAGAUCUUGAGUGCGAGAGGGGACGGUAGAAUAUCUAGUGUAGCGGUGGAAUGCGUAGAUAUUAGAUAGAAUACCUGAGGCGAAGGCGACCGUCUGGCUCGUAACUGACACUGAAAUGCGAAAGCAUGGGUAGCAAACAGGAUUAGAUACCCUGGUAGUCCAUGCCGUAAACGAUGGGUACUAGCUGUCGGAGGACUAACCCCUUCGGUGGCGGAGCUAACGCAUUAAGUACCCCGCCUGGGGAGUACGAUCGCAAGGUUGAAACUCAAAGGAAUUGACGGGGGCCCGCACAAGCGGUGGAGCAUGUGUGUUUAAUUCGAUGCAACGCGAAGAACCUUACCUGGGCUUGAACUGUAGUUGCCCACUCCAGAGAUGGAGCUUUUCCAGCAAUGGAACAACUAUAGAGGUGCUGCAUGGCUGUCGUCAGCUCGUGUCGUGGGAUGUUGGGUUAAGUCCCGCAACGAGCUCAACCCUUAUUACUAGUUGCCAGCGCGUUAUGGCGGGGACUCUAGUGAGACUGCCCGGGUUAACCGGGAGGAAGGUGGGGAUGACGUCAAGUCCUCAUGGCCCUUAUGUCCAGGGCUACACGCGUGCUACAAUGGGUGGUACAAAGCGCAGCUACAUCGCAAGAUGAUGCGAAUCGCUAAAACCAUUCUCAGUUCGGAUUGUAGUCUGCAACUCGACUGCAUGAAGUUGGAAUCGCUAGUAAUCGCGGAUCAGCAUGCCGCGGUGAAUACGUUCCCGGGCCUUGUACACACCGCCCGUCACACCAUGGAAGUUGAUAGUGCUCGACUCAGCUGGUCUAACCCUUCGGGGAGGAAGGCUGUUAAAGCAAGAUUGAUAACUAGGGUGAAGUCGGAACAAGGUA